UAAACAUCCGGCUCCCAGAAGGCACCAAAAGCAGCCAUGGACCCUCUCUCAGAGCUGCAAGAUGACCUGACCCUGGAUGACACCAGCCAAGCUCUGAACCAGUUGAAGCUGGCCUCCAUUGAUGAGAAGAACUGGCCUUCUGAUGAAAUGCCAGACUUCCCCGAGUCAGAUGACUCUAAAAGCAACUCUCCAGAACCUGUGACACACCUGAAGUGGGAUGACCCUUACUAUGACAUUGCCCGGCACCAGAUUGUGGAAGUAGCGGGUGAUGAUAAGUAUGGGCAGAAGAUCAUUGUAUUUAGUGCUUGCCGGAUGCCCCCUAGCCACCAGCUGGACCACAGCAAGCUCUUGAGGUAUUUGAAACACACACUGGACCAGUAUGUGGAGAGUGACUACACACUCCUGUACCUAUACCAUGGCCUGACCAGUGACAACAAGCCCUCCCUCAGCUGGCUACGGGACGCCUACCGAGAGUUUGACUGCAAGUACAAGAAGAAAUCAAGGCUCUGUACAUCGUGCACCCAACCAUGUUCAUCAAAACUCUGCUUAUCCUCUUUAAGCCUCUCAUCAGUUUCAAGUUUGGACGGAAGAUCUUCUACGUGAAUUACCUGAGUGAGCUGAGCGAGCACGUGAAGCUGGAGCAGUUGGGGAUCCCUUGCCAAGUGCUCAAGUAUGAUGACUUCCUCAAAUCCGCACAGAAGAGCCCUGCGACAGCUCCCAAGCCCAUGCCACCACGCCCCCCCCACCCCUGCCCAAUCAGGCCAGGAGCCCAUUCCCAUUGUGCUCAGGGAGACCUUCGCCUAUUUGCAGGCUCACGCUCUCACCACCUGGGGCAUCUUCCCGGUGUCUGCCAACACCCAGGUUGUACGGGAAGUGCAGCAGAAAUACAAUAUGGACUGCCGGUGGACAUUGACCAGUACAACGAGCUGCACCUGCCCGCUGUCAUCCUCAAGACAUUCCUUCGGGAGCUUCCUGAACCCUUGCUAACCUUUGACCUAUACCCCCACGUUGUGGGCUUCCUCAAUAUUGAUGAAAGCCAGCGAGUGGAGGUAACGCAGCAGGUUCUCCAAAUUCUGCCAGAGCAGAACUACCGGGUGCUUCAUUUCCUGACUGCCUUCCUGGUGCAGAUAUCUGCCCACUGUGACCAGAACAAGAUGACCAACACUAACCUGGCUGUAGUCUUCAGCCCUAACCUGCUCUGGGCUAAGGAUGCUGCCAUCACCCUCAAGGCCAUCAAUCCCAUCAACACCUUCACUAAGUUCCUCCUGGAUCAUCAAGGGGAAUUGUUCCCCAGCACAGAUGCUCAGGGGGUCUGA